rnacentral:lncRNA from 1 species
GGUCGUUGCAGCCGCAGCAGCUGUCUGGAAGAGGGCGGAUUGGAAGAUAAGGAGAAUGAGAAGGAUGAGACUGUUAAUCUCCAAACUAAAGAAUACAUGAUUCUGUGGUUUAUUCAAGAUCUUAACAAAGGAUUUCCACUUGAAAUUGGAUUAUCUGUGAUGGAGCUAUUCGCUGGAGAAAUUUGACUCUCUCUCUCCCUCAUGAGCUGUUGACAACCAGUAGCUGUUCAUCUGGGUGUGGAGCCUGCUCACAUCAUGGAAGACAGGAAAGACAUCAUGGAAGAGAGAAAGACAGAGAGAGAACAAAGACAUGAUUUAAAGUCUAAGAAUAUGACCUACUUUUCCCAGUUAUGCCCCAUCUCCUACUGUUUCCAGAACUUCUCAAAAUAGCAUCAUGAACUGAGGACAGACCUGCUAAUACAUGAUCUGUUUUUUUUUUUUUUUUUUUUUUUUUUUUUUGAGUGACUCAUCAUAUUCAAACCACUACAUGGUCAGAGAAGAAAAAUAAAAAGGCUUACAUAUAUGCUGGAUGAAUACACCUACAAUAUACAGGCCUCUGGACCUCUUUUCUCCAUCUUAACUAACACCUAUCAUUUAUCUAAGUUCCUCAAGAUUUGUUGAGAUGGGAGUUGGGAGGAGAAGAGAAUGAUAACUCCAUCCCCACUUUCCAUCUCUGGUUCUUCCUCCUCCUCCUCCUCCUUAUCCUCUUCCUUUUCUUCUUCCUCCUCCUCCUCCUCCUUAGAUUUAUUUUAUUUAUAUGAGUAUGCUGUAGCUAUCUUCAGAAACAUCAGAAGAGGGAAUUGGAUUCCAUUAAGGAUGGUUGUGAGCUACUAAGUGAUUGCUGAGAAUUGAACUCAGGACCUCUGGAAGAACAGCCAGUGCUCUUAACCACUGAGCCAUCUCUCCAGCUCCUACUUGUUUCUUUCUUGUUACCUCUCUUUUCCAAAUGUUAGCUGGCCAGCAGCAAGCAACCAGACCUAGUCCAGGUAAUAUUCCUGGCAAUGAGGUAGGCUAGUGACCAAAUCUACAACCCAUGGCCUUUGAGGGAUAUUUGAGGUCCAAAAUAUAAGAAAGAUUAUCCUCCUCCACCCCACCCGUGCACUGACAGGAAAUAUUAAUGCCCAAUAUGAAACAUAGCUAAUCUCUUGAAAUUAUCACUGGGUUCACAGGUUAAGAAUAAAGCAAAUCCAAGUUGAUAACCACGUAAUAUAUUACUGUGGCCAGGACUCACACAUAUUAUCUACCUUCUUAAUAAGGAAAUCAGCAUUCCUUUUUGGGUUCUUAUUAUCAUGGAUAAAAGAAUUUUAAAACAAUGGAAGAAUCAUUUUAUUAGAGUUUGAAAGAAAAACAACAUAACAGGCAAACUGUAAACCUUAGCAGCUGAUGGGAUGAGGGAAAUGAAACAAAGCAAGCCAGGCCUUUGGAGUUAGGGGUAAAAAUAAACCAUCCUGUUCAGCAAUGGGAAUCAGUCAGCAGCUGCAUGACAGAGGGAGAGAGGCUUCAGAGAAAGGAUGAGAAAGUCCUGAGUGUAACGGGAAUCAUGUUUAGGUUUGGGGCCAGUAUCUGAAAGAAAAAUAUGGAAGAAAAUGUGAACGUUAUUUUUUGUUGUUAUUUCCAGAGCUAAGUACACCAGGCAGGCUUAGUAGGGGUUCAGGUGCAUAUGCAGGCCACGAUUUCUUUAUCCAUCCAUCCAGAGCUUUAAGCAGCUGCAUCCAAAGAGGAGCUUCUGGGAAGGCUAAGUGCAUUAUCUCAUUAAGGGGUGAUUAUUUCUCCAGGCUUCUGGCCAUACAGUCUACAAGCCUCGCUGAAUUAACUCUCAAAGAAGACACAGUAUGUAAUGAUCUAAUUCUUGGAGCAGAACAGAGUGUCAUAUCUCCAGCUAGGGACAGAAAUAAAAUCCGUUACAUUAACCAGGAAGUAGUUUCUUUAAUGGCCUUCGAUAGAGCCCCAAUAUCUUUAUGUUUUCAUGUGGGAUUUUAAGUCCUAAACUGGGGCAUUUGUAGUGUUUAACUCUCUGUGUUACACAGGAAACAGGAGGUGUUAUCCAAAACCAACCAUAUUUCUAGUACUUAUUCGUGUUUAAUUAAAAUACAUACCCUUUAGAUAGCAAUUCUGUUGUGGGGUAUACACCGGAGAAGACUGCUCAGAAAAGGGUUUAAGCCAAUAGGAAGUUUUUAUUAACCUGUCAGCCACGGCACUGGGUGUUCAGGAUCCCAGUGUAGUCCCUAUCCUUUCUCAGGGUAAGCUUUUAAACACAAAAACUAUCUUCUGGGUUGUCAUAGUUCAGGUAACAAGAACGGUUAGCCAGAAGUGGAACUACAGAAGCUAAAAAGCAAGGUUUGUAUAUUUAGAGACUUCCCCAGAAAAAAAUGGAUUCUGAUGGACUUUGAUAGAUGUGACCUUUGUUUUCAUUUUGGCAUACUGUCCAAGUGCUGAAUUUUAUGGGUUGAUUGGUACUUCCAUCCUGGAGUCAGUUGUGUUAAGGUCUGGAGGCCUAUUAAAGCCUGCGGCCCUGUUAUAGUUCUUAAUUUCCCUCCCAUCAUAUUCCUGAAAAUCAGUAUUUGCCAUGUAUCUCAGAAUUUGAUCAUUUCAGAAUAUAAGUAGAAUCACACAGUAUUUGUUCUUCUUUGAGACUAUUUUCUUCUUAUCAAUGGUAGCUAACCCACCAAGAGCCAAUAUUUAUAUAUCUCCAUCUUUAAUCUCUCAUACCUUGUAAAACUUUUAUUUCCAUAAAUCCCCAUGCCUACUCCUGGAACCACUGGCCUGAAGCUGCUGACCUUCUCCUCAAUUCCUUCAUUUCCUUUGUACCAAUUAUUUUAAAAACUGUCUUAGUUAGAGUUUUACUGCUGUGAAAGAUAUCAUGACCAAAGCAACUCUUAUAAGGACAAUAUGUAAUUGGGUCUGGCUUACAGGUUCAGAGAUUCAGUCUAUUAUCACCAAGGUGGGAACAUAGCAGCAUCCAGGCAGGCAUGGUGCAGGAGGAGCUGAGAGUUUUCCAUCUUCAUCUGAAGACUGCUAGCAGAAUACUGGCUUCCAGGCAUCUAGGUCUAGGAUAUUAAAGCUCAUUCCCAAAGUUACACAGGUACUCCAACAAGGCUACGCCUCCUAAGAGUGCCUCUCCCCGGGCCAAACAUAUAAAACCCACUAUACUAAACAAUCAGGAAAGCCUGUGGGGUUGGAUUCCAGCCUAUGAGAAAAAAGCAGCCAUCUUGUUUGUUGGAGAAAGCAAGAGAGCAGUCCUGCCCCAUUGUACUGCUAACCUGUUUUUGGGAGCUUCUCACUUUUUUUUUUUUUUUAAGUUUCUUUUUUGAGCUCCUUUCACGGUUCUCAUGUGUUCCUUUGUGUGACACAGAGAUUAUUCUUGUUUCUAACCCUUCUAUAACUGCUCUAUGUGACUCACGGUGUCACAUGUCUUUUUAAGGUGAAAAGUAUCUAACUGCAUAUGCAUACCACGAUUUAUUUAUCCACCCAUAGUCAUAAAUAAAUAUUUAGGUUAAUCUAGAUAAAUAUUUAGGUUGUUAGUGUACCUGGACUACUGUAUAUAAUGCUAUAAUAAACAUGAGAAUGC